UACAGAGGUGGCAAGCGUUGUUCGGAAUUACUGGGCGUAAAGGGCGCGUAGGCGGUUCGAUAAGUCCCGUGUGAAAUCCCUCGGCUCAACUGAGGAAUGGCACGGGAAACUGACGGGCUUGAGUUCGGGAGAGGGAAGCGGAAUUCCGGGUGUAGCGGUGAAAUGCGUAGAUAUCAGAAGGAACAUCAGUGGCGAAAGCGGCUUCCUGGACCAGAACUGACGAUCAGGCACGAAAGCGUGGGGAGCAAACAGG
rnacentral:rRNA from 1 species